GACGACGCUGGCGGCGUGCUUAACACCUGCAAGUCGAACGGAAAGGCCCUGCUUUUGUGGGGUGCUCGAGUGGCGAACGGGUGAGUAACACGUGAGUAACCUGCCCUUGACUUUGGGAUAACUUCAGGAAACUGGGGCUAAUACCGGAUAGGAGCUCCUGCUGCCUGGUGGGGGUUGGAAAGUUUCGGCGGUUGGGGAUGGACUCGCGGCUUAUCAGCUUGUUGGUGGGGUAGUGGCUUACCAAGGCUUUGACGGGUAGCCGGCCUGAGAGGGUGACCGGCCACAUUGGGACUGAGAUACGGCCCAGACUCCUACGGGAGGCAGCAGUGGGGAAUAUUGCACAAUGGGCGGAAGCCUGAUGCAGCAACGCCGCGUGCGGGAUGACGGCCUUCGGGUUGUAAACCGCUUUCGCCUGUGACGAAGCGUGAGUGACGGUAAUGGGUAAAGAAGCACCGGCUAACUACGUG
rnacentral:rRNA from 1 species